CCGAGUCACGUGACCAGAGGUCAACUCAGUCCGUACACCAGGUUUAUUUUCUGAAUUUAAAGUUGCCGGGUUUCUCUGUGAUAUACAAAUAAAAAGUCCAGAUUGGAAAAACAAGUAGAAUAAAGAGAACCUGGAUUCAAAGAGUUUAUUUACAAAACAUUAAAAUAGUCAUAAUGAAACGUAAAUAUUUUUUGCUUAAUAAAUAGUGAAGUAAGUAAAAUAGUAAAUCAUUGGAAUGCAUAACAAAACGAUUAGACUAAAAUAGUUUUAGUAAAACAAAAAUAAUAAACAUCUUUAAGUCCAAUAAAAUUUCCUAGCUUACAUGCUGAUCGCAUAACUAUGUCCCAGCAACGAAGCUUGGACAUUGCAGCAGGUUCCUGUAUCAAAGAAAAUGUAGAGUUUAUCUACGGUUUAUAGUUAGAAUUACUUUUAAGCUAGAAUUAGGCUAAAAACGACCAGGCAAUGCGUAUAGAUAGAUAGAUAGAUAGAUAGAUAGAUAGAUAGAUAGAUAGAUAGAUAGAUCAAAAUUAAAAUGAUAACCUGUAAACAAUAUAAUGAAAUUAAUAAAUUUGAUUCCUUAAUUUAAUUUUAAAAAGUGAUAAAGAGCGCUAUAAUCUGUAAUAAACUUCAUUUUGUUAGUGGACCUCUUGAACUGACCCGCUCUAUAUAUUCACUGGCCACAGCGUGCUUUGUAUACCCCUUUAAUACCCAACCACCCACACACAUUUUAUGUUUUCCUCUGCUUCCUCCCAACCACGAUAACAGCAAAAAGGAAUUCAAUUGCAAGCAAUUCAAGACAUUUCCAGACCUCUGGACAUACAUGCGAGACCUUUUGGCGCCCCAGAUUUUAUUGCAGGAAACAAUUCUAUACGUAAGUUGCAAAUAAACAGUGAAACAAAUUUUAGGCUCAUUAAUUUAGAUAUAAAAUGCGAAACUCUGUGUAAAUAGAGAAGCUUUCUUUGUUGUAGCCGUGGAGGGAAGAGGCGAAUUCUUGAGGGUGGUUCCUGUCAAGCGCUUUGCCGGGGAAAAGAUUGAUCACCACUGCUUCUUCAGUACUAUGGAAUAUAUUCUGACCAUGUGUUAUUCUUUUUUGUUUAAGUUUUUUUCACAUUUGUGUUUAUUAGGAUUUAUUUAUUAUUUAUUUAUGUAAAUAUACUAUUUUUUAAGUAUAAGGUAUUGUUUUGUUCCUCAUGCGUGCUAAUUCAGAAAAUAAUUUACAUUUCAUAAACGACCCCUCAGCGAACCUAUGGUAACCUAUGUGAUAACUUGUCCUAUUUAGAAAUUACCUAUGUUUUAUUUUUUCUUUUCUUUUUAACAAAACCUUUUCUUUAAAAAAAACUAAAAAACUAAUCCCAUGCUUAUUGCGAUAAAAUCAUAAUUAUGCAUGCUUUUUAAAAGAUACAUUUUAUUUUAGCCGAAAUUUAGCUGCAAACUUACAUUCACAAAAGUCCCCAAUUUUAGAUGCCUCUUUAUAGAUGAAAAGCUGUAAAGUAGUCAACCACAUAGGCUACACCAGUCGCGAUGUUCUGUGCAAUGAUGUCCAAGACCUAAAAUCUUUCUGAUAUAUUCCUGUUUACUUGGACUACAUACAUGAAAUAGCGUUUAUAUAUACACACAUAUGCACCCACACACACCUAUUGUCAUAAUAAUGCUGCAUUUCUUGUCUGUUACUCUUGUCAAAAGUUUUAAGAUUAAUGACUCGGCUGAAAUAUACACAGUUAGCCAUAUUGUAUAUGUACUUUUUCAUGCUUUUAAGGCCUCAGGGUUACAGCACCCAAAGCGCUUUAUUCAUAUGGCCAUUGUCUAAACGAAGACGUUAUUUAACCACCCACACUGAAAAGCAUUCAAGCACAUGACAAACGUACGCAUUUUUUAUUACACGUAUUGUUAUCGCGGGAAUUCUGCGAUCUUGAAUAUUUGAUCAAUAUAGAAAAUGCUUUCUUUUGCCACCAGGCACCGUAUUUUCAUUGGUUGCGACUAGUCAUGUGACCAGGAAUUGGCUGCAAAUUCGCCCAUAGUCCUCAGUUUAGUAGACCCUGGUCCCCAUACGCUAGUAAUAUCACCAAUUAUUAAAGCCCGCAAAAACAGUCGUGGUGGGAGCGCAAAAUAAAACCUCGCCUUUUGGAUGAUAUUUUUGCGCGUUUUUUAUGUCGCUGGCCGCCCAUUUUGCUUAGGCAAAGCGAUGAAUUUUGAAUUUGAGAGGGAGAUUGGGUUCAUCAACAGCCAACCUUCCCUUGCUGAGUGCCUGACGUCUUUCCCCGCUGUCCUGGAGUCAUUUCAAACUUCAUCAAUCAAGGACUCGACAGUAAUUCCACCUCCUUUCGAGCACACUAUCCCCAGCCUGAGCCCUUGCACAGGCAACCAGGCGCGACCGAGGAGCCAUAAGCGAACUGCCUCUAAUGGCCUCCAGCUCCGAACGCAAACCACGACACCAACGCAGCAGAAGCAGGGCCCGGGUCCAGCCACGGCCGGUGGCCCCCUUGCCCACGAGUUCCCAUGGAUGAAGGAAAAGAAAUCAUCGAAGAAAUGCCCCAAGCCAGGAGCAGCGCCCACUGCAGCCACUGCAGCUGCCUCUCCUUCUCCAGCAUCCUCUGGUUUCACCACCGCAGGACUCGAGUCCCCCACAGAAGUGCAAGUCGGAUUAGACAAUGGCAGCGGUUCUCGGCGUCUAAGGACAGCCUACACCAACACACAGCUACUCGAACUGGAGAAGGAGUUCCACUUCAACAAAUACCUUUGUCGGCCCAGAAGGGUCGAAAUUGCAGCCCUUUUGGAUCUAACCGAGCGCCAGGUCAAAGUAUGGUUCCAAAAUCGGCGCAUGAAGCACAAGCGACAAAACACGCACCACCGAGAUGGACAAGAGGGCGAGUCGAGCUGUUUCGAGCCACUCGAAGGCUCUGAUGCAGCUUCGCCAUUUCCGAAUCCGUCUCUGGAGCCGUCCGGUCCGACAGCAUCCAGUUCUAGUUCAGCUAGUGCAUCCGAGAGUGAGCCGUGCCUUCCCGCUUCUUGCUACGGCAAAAGUGCUGACAAUACACAGCCCACGCCUGUGGAAAGCCAGCCAAUACAGACCGAUUCGGCAGAUGGCCCUGACACAGCGGUCCAUUCGCCCCCGUACCAGACACCCACUGCCGAUAACCCCGAUACAAUGACGGAGUCGCGCGAGGAAUUGCCAGAGAACGCCUUUACACAACCGCAGGACACCAACUCACUAGCGGAUCUGAAUUUCUUUUCCGCCGACUCCUGCCUACAGAUUUCGGACGCUUUAUCGCCGAGUCUACAAAGCUCACUGGAUAGCCCCGUAGACUUCUCGGAGGAGGAUUUUGACUUGUUUUCAAGUACUCUUUGUACGAUAGAUUUACAACAUUUACAGUUUUGACAGACUUAAAAACUACAAUCGAAAUGUACCCCUCACACUAGCCUACUAUAAAUGCUUUUAACCAUAACAUUGUCAAAGAAACGAGCGAUUUUUUUUAGUUUAUAUUCGCACCCAUAUAUCUGCGAGACGGAGCUGUAGCAGAGACCUAUAAAUUAUUGCAGUUUUAUGAUGUUGUUUUAGAGAAUCCACACGGGGAUUGCUCAUGUCCAGUUUCAGGGGGGGAACAGCAGACCAUCCACACACAACUUGGCACAGGUCUUAUGCCGGAUGCUCCUCCCAUUUUAUCCAGGCUUGGGACCAGCAUUGUAUCCAGUGGCUGGGGUUUGGGCAUUGGGUGGGAAUUGAACCCGGGCCUUCUGCAUGGCAGGCGAAAUUAGCCAAUUUCUGAUUGUAAAUAGGACAGCAAUCUGGAAAUUUGCUUUGUCUUGGUUACGAGGUGAUUUAUUAAUGUUUUAACCAAUGCAAAGUAUUUAUUAAAGUCAAUAACCAAUGCAAAUGGACAAUCUAAAUGUAUGUUUUGGAAUAUGAUUUUACCUUAUUGACUUAGUAGAGUAAAAAAACCCAUAAAUAAAUUAACAUUUAACCAAGACAAAGCAACAUGUCCAGAUUGCUGUCUUAGUCUGAGCUGAUUACAACCAGGAAUUUGCAAAUUUCUCUGCUGCAGUGGCAGUAAUGUUAGAAUAAACAGGUAAGAAUUCAUUAGCUUUUUUUUUUGUUUUUUUCUUCCCUACAAAUGUUACAUAAAAAAUUAUUGUCGAUAAUUUUGCUGCUCAUGCUGUGUCACAGGGAAGCCACAUAAGUGCUUUUAAAUUUUAUAUGAAAAACAUUUCACAGUAUGCAUAGUCAAUCAGAAACUUAGCUAAACCCAAAGUAAAAUUACCUGUUGGUGAUUAAAGCAGGUAGACAAACUUUACAGCUGUCAUUGGUACAGUUUCCAGUGCCAUUUACAAAAAAGGGUGACACAAUCAUGUGUACAUAGUGGUAUUUGCAUAAGUAUGGAUAUGUGCCUGGAUAUGUUCCUUGUUCACCAAGCUAUACUUGAAAAAGUAAUAGAAAAAAGAAAUGGCUAAAAUUUAGUAUUUAAAUUGAAGGUACUUUUGUCAUAUUUCACAAAUAUUUCCAAUAUACUUUUUAGAUAAUGCAAUAAUGCAUUAAUGGACUUCAACAGUCCAUAGCUGAAAAUCUUUAUUCUAACAGUGUGAAGUUGCUUAACAAACCAACCAUUUGUCUCAUCUUAGUUUCUCCAAUGCACAGCUGCUCAAUUUUCAUAAAGGAAAGAAAAAAAAUCCUCUUGUGUUGGUAAACAAUGAGUGAUGUAUAUUAUGUAUAAUAUUUUUGUUAAUGAAUUUGCAUGUGGAAUAUCUAGAAUACUUGCAUACAAGUUUGCCAUGAAUUCUUUUAGCCUGAUCAAUGAAUUCACUACUAAAAAGCAAGUCUUUCUUGUCUUUGAAUCUUUCUUGCUCUUGUCCUAUCUAAAGGUUCCUUUAAAAGGUAAAGUGUCUGAAGAUAAGUGGCACGGUAAUGCAGUGGUUAGCAUUGUGACCUCACUCCUGACCGGUGCCCACCUAUGGGUAUGUAUGGGUAUGAGUUUCGAAUGUUCUCCCCAUGUUUGGUGGGUUUCCUGCCACAGUCCAAUGAUUUGGCAUUUCUAAAUUUCCAUGUUGUGUGUGUGCUUAUAUUUUUGUGCCCUGCCCUGGACUGGCGCCCUGGCAGGGUGAUUCCUGCCUUGUGUUCUGAGUCCCCUGGGAUAGACUCCAGGCCUCCCGUGACCUAUGCACAAUAGAUAUUGUGAUUUACCUGGAUUUGCCAUAUUUUUUUAUUGAUGUCAAAUUAGAUAACUACUUGAUUAUAAACUACAUGUAAACUACAAAGUAUUUGCCCUCUAUUCAUCACUCUUAAAUGAUUAGGAUCAUCAAAGUUUUGUUUGUAAGUUUUAAUAUUACACAGAUACCCUAAGUAAAGACUAAGUUAUUUUUUUAUAAGUCAUGAUUUCAUUUUAUUUCGAUCUAUGUGCUAAAAUAAUCGCUCCUAAUCCUUGG